ACUCAAAUGAAUAGACGGGGACCCGCACAAGCGGUGGAGCAUGUGGUUUAAUUCGAGGCAACGCGAAGAACCUUACCAGGCCUUGACAUGGUUAGUUUGAUUUCCAGAGAUGGAUUUCUUCAGUUUGGCUGGCUAACACACAGGUGCUGCAUGGCUGUCGUCAGCUCGUGUCGUGAGAUGUUGGGUUAAGUCCCGCAACGAGCGCAACCCUCAUCUUUAGUUGCCAUCAUUAAGUUGGGCACUCUAAAGAAACUGCCAGCGUUAAGCUGGAGGAAGGUGGGGAUGACGUCAAGUCUUCAUGGCCCUUACGGCCUGGGCUACACACGUGCUACAAUGGCGGUGACAAAGGGCUGCUAACCCGCGAGGGUAUGCGAAUCCCAAAAAGCCGCCUCAGUUCAGAUUGAAGUCUGCAACUCGACUUCAUGAAGUCGGAAUCGCUAGUAAUCGUAGAUCAGCAUGCUACGGUGAAUACGUUCCCGGGUCUUGUACACACCGCCCGU
rnacentral:rRNA from 1 species